ensembl:lncRNA
UGCUGCUGCUCCUGCUGCUAAGGAGGCGAUCGCUGCUGUGGGGGAGCCUCGACCCUUCGGGAAAUGUCGGCGCUGCCCCACGGCGCCGCCCGGCUCCACCUCCGGCAGCGGGGAGGAGCUGCCCCGCCUCACGGCGGUGCCCCUCACCGCUCCCUGGGCGGGUGGCUGCGGCACGGCGACCCCCGGUGUGGCAGGAUCGUUGUCUUCACGUUUCCCCCUCACAGCCCACGGGGCUCGGCAGCCCCCGUCCCGGCAGGGGCAGGAACUGUGUGCUAUCAGACUUGUGCAUUUUCACAGAUAAACCUGCCAGGUGAUGCAUACAAUGACCGCACUGAAAAUAGGCACAGAAUAGCAGAGCUUGAGUUGUCCCAAAUGUUGUCCCACAAAAGUCAAGACAGGCACAGAGGCUUAUCAGCAAAAGCACAUCAGAACUGUAUGAAGAGAGAAGUAUGCAUCAAAUGAAUGCUGUUUUUCAAGAUUAUGCUGCUUUUUUACCACCUUGAUGCACUAAUUCAAAAACAGAUGUUGAAAAUGUAUGGAAAACUAAUGCCUGAAGUCCAUGUAUGGUUUUGGGGCCCUGUUUCAGUUUCAUAUGUACUGGCAAGUAUUUGAGCUUUCAUUUUAAAAUGCUGUGUUGUUUUUUUCUUUAUUUCACACUGUAAAAAAUGUAUUCAAACACAAACUAUCUGGACUUCCGAGUGUUUUAGUUUUAUUACCAUUAUCAAAAGACAUUGGAAUCAUUGUCUGGUUUAACUGCUACAGAAAGCAAUUUUCACUAGGUGUAACAAUUGUAAAUAGGAGAUAGAGUUUACUAUGGACAAGGCAAUACCACUGUGAUACAAAAGUAAUUCUAAUCUGAUAAGAGAUUUAACGGGGGAAAAAAGCACUUCAAGAUUUGAUUACCCCAUCACUUUGAACAUAACAGACAAGACAAUCAAAAGAUUUUCUGUUAACAUUGUUCAAAAAGGGUUUAUUUAAGCAUGUGUGUUGAAUCAAAGUCAGAGAGACUUGACUAUUCACGGACAAUUAUUUCCUAAACAAAGAGAAACAACAACUGCACUAACAACUUAUUUUGCUACUAUAUGUUCUAGAUAACUGCUUACUAAUUAGUAAUGAUGAGAAAAGAUAACGCAUGCAGAUAAAUGUCUGUGACUUCUAUUGUAUUGUUUUUAAGUGAAUUAGAGACCCAAAUAAAACUGAAUAAUCCCUAUUUGCAUAGAAUUGUGUAAAUAUUUCCUGUGGAAACCUGAAACCACAUGAAACUCAGGUAGUUUGACUUUGAAAGAAACCAGUUCUGUGUAUACAAACACAAAGGCUGGAUUAGAGAGUACACCACUAAACUUGCAGAUGUCUUAUCUGUUAAGUGCAGGAGUCUCCCAAGCCUGCAUUGUGAUUUAUUUUCAAGGAUUUCAAGAAACUGGUGAUCCUUGUUUGCAAAAGUUCCAGAUAAAUGGAAUGCAACACUUUUUUUUUUUUUUUAUAGUAUGUUGAGGUUCUAGCAAAUCUCAGUAUUAAGAAAAACUGCAAGGUUGAGAAAUCAAAUGAAUCAAAACUGACAUUUGGGUUUCUGAUGGGUAACACUGGGAAAAGACAAACUUAAAAUUUAUAGUUUCAGCACUGAGAUUGUCAUCGAUGGAUACUUAUUUGUUCUUAUGUGGUCUUUAUAUAAAAUAUGUUUAGUAAAAGCUUUCCUCUUGAUACAAGCCUCCCCAAAGAGAUGCAGAUACCUGUAAAUGGGUAUUUGUAAAAGGGAUAGUUCUCUGCUCUCGGACUUUGAACCCAAAGAGUACUGCACUGAUUCCUGUUGCAUGUUUUUUUUAAUAGAAUCAUAGAAUAACCUGUACUGGAACGGACCCAUGAGGAUCAUCGAGUCCAACUCCUGGCUCCACACAGGUGUACCCUAAAAUUCAGACCGCAUGACUGAGAGCAUAGUCCAAAUGCUUCUUAAACUCUGACAGGCUUGGUGCCGUGACUACGUCCCUGGGGAGCCUAUUCCAGUGCUCUUAAAAGCAACGUGGUCAAACAGAUUUGGCUGUUUAUCAGCUCCAAACUGCAAUUUGAUAAAAUCCCCAUCUCCUUUGUUCAUCUGGAUUCAGGGAGUUUGCUUUACACCUUCAUUUUAGGCAGUACCAUGUCAUGGAGCUUUUGCUAUCCUUUUCCUAGCCCUUAGACCAGAGGUAUUUUGAUAACAGGUCUUAUCUGGUGCAUAGGAUGCUUGGAGGUUGUAGCUGAGUGGCUAUUAUGUUAAGCGUUUGACUAUUUUUUAGCUUGAUUAGUUGCCAAAGACACCAAGCGGCAUUUCAGCCCGUCGAUCUGGACAGACGACACUGCAGCCUUUUCUCCCUUUCCCCACAGCCUUCCCCGGGCCUGCAGCCUCGGCUGAAAACAGCCCCGCUGAAACCCCCGGGUGGCUCUGGGGGGACCUCGAGCGGCCGGGGCCGGCUCCGACACCCGGGCCCCGCCUGAGGGGAGGUGCGGGGCGAGGUGAGGCGGGCCCGGCCCCGGCCCCGGCCCCGGCCCCGCCGCCUCCCGUGGCGCCGCCUUGGCCCUCG